UCUUUUGACAGUAAAACUUGACAGCAGUGACAAAAUAAUACAAUAGUCAUAAUAGGAGCGAAAUAAUUAACAGUAAAUAUGUACAAUGAAUAAUGAAUCACAGUAAUUGUAUGUUGUUUAACACGUCUGACGAAUUUGUCAAUUUACGUAUCUUCCCAUGACUUUUAUGUGUAAUUUGUAAGCAAUAGUGUAUAAAUACGUAAAAAUUAUAGUGUUGUGGGAUAUGUCAACAAAGUCACAGUUAACGAAGGAUUUAAAUGAAAGUAUUAAACGCUUAUUGGGGAAGCAAGUUAAGAUCCUAUUUAAAAAUGUCGUACGACUUGAAACCAAAGGUGACAAAACUGAAAAUAGAGUCAUGGUGUUUUCUCCAUGUCGAAUAUUGCUUCUUACAGCAAAAGUUCCUACUAGGAUUGAUUUUCACUUCCAUUACUUAGAAAUACAGGCAGUUGAAAGUAAAAGGGGCAAUCAGCUGAGCAUUACUGUGAAUGAUAAGACACAUUCGUUUCUAACAGGUGAAGACUCAACAUGUAGCCUGGAAGUGGAUAAUAUGAUAUCUGCUAUUGCCACUGCACUGAGAAACAUUUUUCCAACUGUUCCCCUUAACUAUAUAAUAAAAAAGAUUGAAGUUCUUCCUGCAACACGUCUUCAACAGUUAUAUGAUUUGGAGAUUAUUUCAAGAAAUCAAGAAGUGGGCCCCUGUGGCGGAUUUUCCACUCAGUAUGCAUGCAUGUGUGACUAUCACAACAUGACCUAUCGUGAUGAGGUUGCUUGGGAUAUUGACAACAUUCUGGUUUGUUUAAAUAAUCGCGAACUAUGCCUUAAGGACUUUGACCAUUUAGAUCAGAGAGACUUGGUACCAAUCAUAAGUGCUUUGGAAUAUAAUACAUGGUUCACUAAAAUUCGAGCUGCUCAUGUGAAAUUAUCCCAUGAAUGUUCUGAUAGAAUCCUGCACCUUAUAAAAAAUUCCCUCUGCCUUGAGGAGCUCUACCUAGAUAAUUUGGGGAUAAAAGCCGACUAUGUAAAUAAAAUUUCACAUGCCAUUAAGUCUAACACUGAAUCUCAUAUUCAUACAAUAGAUUUAUCUAAUAAUCCUCUUGAAGAUAAAGGAUUGACCUAUUUAUGUGGUUGGGUCAGUAAUCUUAAAAAAGGUAUAGAACAUCUAAAUUUAUCACAUUGUGGAGCCACAUCGAAAGGUGUUAACCAUCUUACCCAAUCCCUUUGUUCCAAUGAAAUUAAUUAUACUACUCUGAGUUACCUUAAUCUUUGUGGUAAUAGUCUCAAAGAUGACAUUCAGAAUUUAAGCACCUUCCUGAGUCACCCCAACAGUCUUACUCAUCUAGAUUUGUCUUCUACUGAUAUUGUAAUAGACAGUUUAUUUAAUUCAUUAGCAAAGGGUUGCACAACAAAUCUAAUUCAUUUGAACGUAUCCAGGAAUACUUUUAGUUGUAAAAAGAACAAGGAGCCUCCAAUAUCGUUUAAACAGUUCUUCACUGCCUCUAUGAACCUAAAGUAUAUUAAUAUGUCCCACUGUAAAUUGCCCCAGGAAGCUCUCAAGAACUUGUUGCUGGGCCUAGCAUGUAAUGAAUUCAUUAAAGAUAUGAGUUUAGAUUUAAGUAGCAAUUCUCUAGGAGGCCAAGGAGCACACGUAUUAGAAUCGUGUGUACACGGUGUGCGUUGUAUUUCUAGUCUUGAUAUUUCUGAUAACAAUAUGGACGUAGAUCUUGCAGAAGUAAUUUUAGCAAUAAAUAGAAAUAAGUCGUUGAAGCAUUUGAGUUUGGCGCGUAAUAUGUGUAAUAUGAAAGCAAAACACGUUUCGGUCAUUAUGGACGCAAUCGUGCAGAUUAUUCAAGAUGAAGAAUGCGUUCUACAGACUUUGAACCUUUCGGAAUCACGUCUUAAAUCAGAUUUGCACAAUUUUCUAAACGCUCUCGGAGACAAUAAAUGUUUAGAAAAGAUUGACAUAAGCGGCAAUUUAAUUGGCGAUACAGGUGCUAGGCUGUUAGCUAAAGCCUUACAGAUCAAUAAAAAACUAGUUACUAUAAUUUUGGAUAGGAAUAAUAUCACCCUACCAGGAUAUAGUGAUAUAGCAUAUGCCCUAGAGUGCAAUUAUUCAUUGCAAUAUAUGCCAUUUCCCAUAUACGAUGUUGGGAUAAGUAUGAAAGCAUCUGCUGAAAAAACUGACUUUGUUAUGCGCAAAAUUCAAGAUUCGCUCAAUAGAAAUUCAGCACCAAAAAAUUCGAACAAAAAGAACUUGUUCUUAUCGCAUUCUGACUUUGUAUUAAAUUCCAAACAGCACAUUGUAGCAAGGUUGCUGUCGAAGGCUCGUGAAGCGCUUCGAAACGCACCGACAGACUCUUUAUCUUCGGAGGAAAUAGCGCAUGCCAAAGAUGUGAUUGAAGAGGCCGAAAAUGCUAAACAAAUCUUAGAAAACCUGCAGGAUGUCGCACAUCGAAGAAAAAAUCCCGAAAUUGUUGACACCAAAAUGAAACAGGUGGUUUGUGAGAUACACAAUUCCAUUAGUGAAUCAUUGCAGGAAACCAUGGACAUUAUGCUCAAAAGUUGCAAGGAAUUGUAUCCUUCCAUUCUGAAAAAUGCAAACACCAUUAAAAGUAUUAAGAGGGAAUGUAAAAAGAAGAACCAAAUUCCAGUUGAUUUUGUUAACAAUAUAAUUAAGGUCCAGGCUGGAUCUGAAAUAAUUACAAAGAUAAGAAAUGCCAACCAUUUGUUAGCAUUGUGUUUGUCAGAACAGGUAAUUGAGGAAGUUCAAGAUGCUUUGAUGAAAUCAUAUAAGACAUUAAUAGGGGAUAAUAGGCAAAUGGAAUCUCCUCUCUUAGGUUCACGUAACAGUAGUUCUGACUCAUCCAGACAUGGAACAAGUGAUCUUUCUAUCACCGAUGAUAGUCGUCAUUAUAAUAAUUCUUCAGUUCAACUGGAAUAUUUGAAUUUGGCCACACCUCAUUUAUCAAAUAAGAGAAAAAGUUUGCAUGGUCGUAAACUUAAAAUUAGACCAAAGUCUAUGAUUGGUAGUAGCGAAGGCCUGUCAGCUGACGACAUAUCUGACCUUAUCCCGUCAUUGCCACACGAUGGUGAAGAAGAAGAUUCCGUUACAGAACUUCCAAAUGCCACUCAUCAAUUACAACAUCUGGUCAAAGGACGACCACGGAGAGUUAAGACGAAGGCUCCAACACGCCCACUUAUUAAACCAGAUUCAGGGGAAAACCAGGAUUUAAGUGAAGGUCUGGAAACUUUUUUUAGACCUGGAUCAGUAACACCAACUUCUGACGAUUGUAGUUCUUUCCAGUCGGCAAGUCCCAACCAUGAAUUAGCCUCUCCUGUUAUGAAUGAAGACCAGAAGACUCCUAAAUUCCAAAAAACAUCUUUAUUCUUUAGAGGUUUAACAAAUUCCCGAUCUAGAUCUACUGAUAACUUAGGAAAGUAUUCUCCUUUACUUCUUCACAAAAGCACUUCGGACAUUUCUUCGCCUGCUCGAAGACUUACAGGUGACAGCCUCAUAUCCCGAAAAAAUAACAACAAAGCUAAAGAAAUUUCCAACGGCAAUAAAUGUCCUUCGGGCAAAAAUAGUUUUCAAAGUAGUUUAGAAAAGAACGACGAAAGUAACGGAUCGUCAUUGAAAACAAAUCAAUUUUUGGUAACGAAACCAAGGCCAUGGUCUAUGGUUAAUGCAGAACAGAGAAACGAUAAUCUCUUAAGUGAUGGUUCUUCCCCGAUAAAUUCGACUGAAAAUACGCCAGACUCCGGCGAAGCAUUAGAUUGCUCCGAGUUGCCCUCGUUGGGCCGACGAACGUCUCAAGACAGUAGAAAAUAGGUGUUCAAAAGUAUUUUUUGCAUGAAGUAAUUCUUUUACCUGUGAUGUGGAAAUUGUCCAUAGAUAUUUUUUAAAAAUUUUAUAUAGACUUCGGAAUUGAAACAGUCAUUACUUCCUUAAAACUCGAUCCCUUAUCCUGUUUCCUUUGGAGUUUAUUUUACUAUUUAAUAAACAAUAAAAUAACCACAUAUCAGAUUUUUCAUAGAACGUUCUUAACAGAAAAAUAAUGAUUUUAUUUCAAUAAAAUUCAUUAAACUAAGUUGUUUGCGUAACAAUACGUACAGAGAUGAUGAGUAUUUAAAAAAGGAGAAAAUGAAAUAAUAUACAGUGUAUGUAGCAAUAAAUACAGGGAC